UGGCUUUACCCGAAGGCGUUUCGCUAACCGCAAGGAGGCAGMCGGCCACGGUARGGUCAGCGACUGGGGUGAAGUCGUAACAAGGUAGCCGUAGGUGAACCUGCAGAAGGAUCA
rnacentral:rRNA from 1 species